ACGGCCAACUCCUCCGCUCAGCACACAGGGAGCAGACAAGGUGCCUGCAUCCCAAUUGAGGGUGAAGAGGAGCCCACCCUGGCCUGACUCCAUGACAGAUUUAAGAAUCAACACAAGAGGAGGGAGGCGGCGACACGUUGACAUGGAGAAGGAAGAGCG